AAUAUUGGACAAUGGGCGAAAGCCUGAUCCAGCAAUGCCGCGUGAGUGAUGAAGGCCUUAGGGUUGUAAAGCUCUUUUACCCGGGAUGAUAAUGACAGUACCGGGAGAAUAAGCUCCGGCUAACUCCGUGCCAGCAGCCGCGGUAAUACGUAGGGGGCGAGCGUUGUCCGGAAUCAUUGGGCGUAAAGAGCUCGUAGGCGGUUCAGUAAGUCAGGUGUGAAAGCUCCGAGCUCAACUCGGAGAGGCCACCUGAUACUGCUGUGACUAGAAUCCAGUAGGGGAGUGUGGAACUCCUGGUGUAGCGGUGAAAUGCGCAGAUAUCAGGAAGAACACCAGCGGCGAAGGCGGCACUCUGGGCUGGAAUUGACGCUGAGGAGCGAAAGUGUGGGUAGCAAAC
rnacentral:rRNA from 1 species